GGCAGAAACGAGAAAUAGAGUUGGGAAUUAGGGUUACCAUUACCGGACUCUCAAAGGCGCGUUCUUCUUCUUCUUGCGAACAACAGCGGCGCGCUUGCUUCGGUCUAUUCCGGCGGUCUAUCUCAGCCUCUCUUUGGUGAUGCGGAUUCGGAAAUCGAAGAAGAUGAAUCGCUGAAGAUAGCGAUUGUGAGGGCUUGGUGAUGAUGAAGAACAAAGCAAGUUACGGAGGUUGAAGCGUUGGAUGAAGAUGGUUGAGGCAGGUCCGUUGAUUUGCAGAACUGAUUGGAUGAGUGCGAUGUUGAUGCGAUUGCUUUGACGUCGAGAAGAUUAUCACGAUGAUGAUGCUAAUUAAGAGCAGAAAUCCAUGAAGACUUCAAUAAUCCGGGUAGUUUCAAUCCAUUCUCUUCGUCUCUUCUUCUUGAUUCUUUCUCCGGUUUCUUCUUAUUCUCCGACCUGCGUCUUUGCGUUCGUGCGUGAUUCUUCUGUGUUGUUGUUGCGAGGUUGAGAGAUUUGAUGAUGAUGGUGAAGAUUGGCGGUUAUGCUAAUGGUGCAGCUGCAGAAUAUGAGUGAUGAUGAUGGUGAUUUUAUGGAUAGUGAAGGUGAAGAUGUGAGGAAGUGGUUGGAAGAUGGAGCUGGAUGAAGGUCCAGAAGGUGAUGAAUGUGAAGAGAGAGUAGCAGAAGGAAAAGAUGAGUGUGAGAAGAAGAUGAGGCUCUACCCUUCUUCCUUCAAAGUCUGCAAGCGAGACAAUGAUGAAGACUGAUAGUGCUUUUUUUGGUGUCCAUUGUAGGUGGGUGAAGCUGACUAUUUAUAGGAGCAAUCAUUGGGUGAUCAUUAGGAAUCCUUAGAUGUGGGACUCAGCAUUAUAGCUUGCAAGGGUAUGGAUUGAUAGGAGCAUGGGUCAGUUAACUGCUGCUUGAAAGUUCUGCUAGGGACCAUGUUUGAAAGUUAGGGAAUUAGUUUUAGACUGAAUAUAGAUGGGCUGGACAUCCUUUGCAAACUGACUUGUUGCUUUGAUAAACCGUGUUGAACUUGAGUUGAAUCAUUGAAUGCCUUGGUGAUGCAGACAGAUAUCUUGUGAAUGUGUGAUGACAUUGUAUCAUGGAAUCGGUGUUAUGUAUGAUAGGUCUGGAUGGUAGUCGUGUAGGGACUGGUUUGAAAAAAGCCUGAAUCUGAAUGUGGUUUUCUUUUCUGAACUAAUGCAGGGUUUUCCUUAUGUUCAAAAUUGGGACUGACUAGUACCGCGGUAUCAUGGCUGAAGGUCGGGCAGCCAGUCAAGUUACAACAAGCUCAUGGUUCGCGCCGACACAAUUGGAUCAAAUGCUUUAGUGUAUGUGCAUAGUGUGGAUGCUAUUAGCAGCAGGCUAAGUUUCAUGGCGCAAUUUGAACAUGAGUGUAGCAAGACGCACAGUCGGAUGGCGGACGUUCGAUGCAAAUGAAGGGCUUGAAUGGAAGUGUUUUGAUGUUGAUUUGUACUGGUUGUAGCAAAACAGACUCCACAUCAGAAACUAUUUUCUGGAGCUGCUGCCUCUAUUUUUUGAGGGCAACAUAUAUCUUAAAAAGGAUGAGUCUGAUUGAGUUGAGGAGGGGAGAGUGGAAGGCACGACGGAAGCAUCAUUAGGAGAAUCCUUUUUUCCUUGUAAUGUGGCAUGUAAUGGAAUUGUGAUAUGUAAUCUCCUUGUAAUGACUUUCUGUGUAACAUAAUUUGUAGAUUUUUGUAGACAUUUAUAAACACAGUAUUCUUCUCUUAUCAA